rnacentral:rRNA from 1 species
UACGUAGGUGGCAAGCGUUGUCCGGAAUUAUUGGGCGUAAAGCGUGCGCAGGCGGUUCGUUGUGUCGGCGGGGAAAGCCCCGGGCUUAACCUGGGAAUGGCCGUUGAAACUGGCGAACUGGAGUGUGGCAGAGGGGGGUGGAAUUCCGCGUGUAGCAGUGAAAUGCGUAGAGAUGCGGAGGAACACCGAUGGCGAAGGCAGCCCCCUGGGCUGACACUGACGCUCAGGCACGAAAGCGUGGGGAGCAAACAGG